UACGAAGGGUACAAGCGUUACUCGGAAUUACUGGGCGUAAAGCGUGCGUAGGUGGUUUGUUAAGUCUGAUGUGAAAGCCCUGGGCUCAACCUGGGAAUUGCAUUGGAUACUGGCAGGCUAGAGUGCGGUAGAGGAUGGCGGAAUUCCCGGUGUAGCAGUGAAAUGCGUAGAGAUCGGGAGGAACAUCUGUGGCGAAGGCGGCCAUCUGGACCAGCACUGACACUGAGGCACGAAAGCGUGGGGAGCAAACAGG
rnacentral:rRNA from 1 species